AAUCAACGCUGGCGGCGUGCCUCAGACAUGCAAGUCGAACGCGAAAGUCCCCUUCGGGGGACAAGUAGAGUGGCGCACGGGUGAGUAACACGUAGGUAAUCUACCUUUGGAUGGGGAAUAACAACCGGAAACGGUUGCUAAUACCGCAUAAUGCAGCGGCACCUAAUGGUGACAGUUGUUAAAGCGGGGGAUCGAAAGACCUCGCGUCUGAAGAGGAGCCUGCGGCGGAUUAGCUAGNGGUAAGGUAAUGGCUUACCAAGGCUACGAUCCGUAACCGGCCUGAGAGGGCGGUCGGUCACACUGACACUGACAUACGGGUCAGACUCCUACGGGAGGCAGCAGUCGGGAAUUUUGGGCAAUGGGCGAAAGCCUGACCCAGCAACGCCGCGUGAAGGAUGAAAUCCCUCGGGAUGUAAACUUCGCAAGAACGGGAAGAAUAAGCGAGAGUUAAUAUCUUUCGUGAU
rnacentral:rRNA from 1 species